GAUGAACGCUGGCGGCGUGCCUAAUACAUGCAAGUCGAGCGAACAGAUGAGGAGCUUGCUCCUCUGACGUUAGCGGCGGACGGGUGAGUAACACGUGGAUAACCUACCUAUAAGACUGGGAUAACUUCGGGAAACCGGAGCUAAUACCGGAUAAUAUAUUGAACCGCAUGGUUCAAUAGUGAAAGACGGUUUUGCUGUCACUUAUAGAUGGAUCCGCGCCGCAUUAGCUAGUUGGUAAGGUAACGGCUUACCAAGGCAACGAUGCGUAGCCGACCUGAGGGGGUGAUCGGCCACACUGGAACUGAGACACGGUCCAAACUCCUACGGGAGGCAGCAGUAGGGAAUCUUCCGCAAUGGGCGAAAGCCUGACGGAGCAACGCCGCGUGAGUGAUGAAGGUCUUCGGAUCGUAAAACUCUGUUAUUAGGGAAGAACAAAUGUGUAAGUAACUAUGCACGUCUUGACGGUACCUAAUCAGAAAGCCACGGCUAACUACGUG
rnacentral:rRNA from 1 species